rnacentral:rRNA from 1 species
UGGGGAAUAUUGGACAAUGGGCGAAAGCCUGAUCCAGCCAUGCCGCGUGUGUGAAGAAGGUCUUCGGAUUGUAAAGCACUUUAAGUUGGGAGGAAGGGCAGUAAGCGAAUACCUUGCUGUUUUGACGUUACCGACAGAAUAAGCACCGGCUAACUCUGUGCCAGCAGCCGCGGUAAUACAGAGGGUGCAAGCGUUAAUCGGAAUUACUGGGCGUAAAGCGCGCGUAGGUGGUUCGUUAAGUUGAAUGUGAAAGGCCCGGGCUCAACCUGGGAACUGCAUCCAAAACUGGCGAGCUAGAGUAGGGCAGAGGGUGGUGGAAUUUCCUGUGUAGCGGAGAAAUGCGUAGAUAUAGGAAGGAACACCAGUGGCGAAGGCGACCACCUGGGCUCAUACUGACACUGAGGUGCGAAAGCGUGGGGAGCAAACAGG